GCUCACAAAAGCUAUUAUAUUAGAAGAGUAAAAUAUAAAUAUAGCAGCUUUUCCAUACAGAUCUUGCGUUAAAUUAUCAAUUCCUUAGCAAACUUUGUUGUUGACAAUAUCAGCUUCUUACAAAGCGUUAUUUUAUUUAAACGUAACCGUAAAAUAUCCUUACAAUGAACAUCCUAUCUUAAGCCACGAAAACCAAGAAACAGAACUGGGGAAGGUGUAGCAAAAACCUUUUGCGAGCUUGGAGCCGAUCCUCCUGGAUUUGAAAAAUCUUACAUCGAUGACUACAUUGGUUAUGGAAUUUUUGCGACGCUAAACUUCCAGAAAAGUGAUUUCUUGUUGGAGUACCCUAGUACAUUGCUAACAGAAGAGGAGGGUGAUGAGUUAAUGAAAAUUUAUUCAGAUGACAUAUGAUCGUUCCAAAUAUUUGCAUUGAUGCAACACAUCAAGAAAGAUUAGGAAAAUACGUUAAUGAUUUAAAGUUUCCCAACUCCGAAAUCAAAAGUGUUAUGUUAAAUGGACGCCUUCACUUGUGCUUGUUUGCACUAAAAGACAUUGCCUAUUUGCACUGAAAGACAUUAGCUUCAUACGAUACUCGUAUGGACCUAGCAGUCUUUGGUGAAGAAAGGAAAACAGUGAUUGUGACGUUGACUUUGCACUGUCGGAAAGUCAAUACAUAAUACAUAAAGAUGGAUUAACAUUUUUUGAUGUAGAUCAACAAAAUAAGGAUAAAGAACAGGAGUCAGUCGAGAGAUGCAGUGAAAAUGUAGUUGGAAGCGCGAAAGAACUUCAAUGCGCGGAUAGAAAACAGGAAACAGUUGAGAAAGAAAAGAAACUUUCAAAUACAUUUGCUGACGCUGAUUAAAUAACGUUAGAAGGGACGUCGUUAUCAGAGGAAAUGUUCUAAAACAAUUGAAAUGCUAAAGAACUGUGAAAAACAUAUGUUAGAGCUGAUGAUCAUAUUUCGUCAGUAAAUUCAGAAUAUAGUGUUGACGAAGAUUGGUAUUCUGCAAAAAUUCGCAAGAUCGCUGAACGUAAAGAAAAGGAGAGCAAAUAUAGGAACACUGCUGCUUUCACAUUUAAUGUUAACUCUCCCCAGUAUGUAUGGAAACAGAGAACAGAAAUGGUGUAGAAAAUGCAUUUGAUGGUGAUGGUGUAGAAAGUGACGCAAAAGAUGAAGAAGACAAAAAUCUGAAGCUUGUAAUUACGCUUGGCACAAACACUCUUUCUACAAUGAUUUUGAAAAUGGCUUACUACCCCAGACGGAAAAAGGAAAAGUGCUCGAGCAUCAAAAUAGCAUUCUCAGCAGGAUCAGCUUUAACUUAAAACAAGAAUGAUGAUAGCGACAACUUAUCAAUUAUCCCUUCCUCGUCUUGUUCGCUUUCAAACGUGUUUGACACAGGAAAGAACGGGUCAAAUUCUCCCGAGCUAAAAACAAGUUGACUUGGCCGAAAUUUGGAAACAUCAUCACGAGUGCAGCGAAUGUUAAGGAAAGGGAAAUUAUAGAAGUUUUUGAUACGGACGAGUGCGUGAAGACAUUGAUAGCGAAGUAUGGAAUAACGACUAUUGUCACGAAGAUUCAGACAAAAAAAAUCAAAA